rnacentral:tRNA from 1 species
GGGCCGAUAGUUUAGUCUGGUAGAAUACCUGCCUUGCAUGUAGUUGACCUAGUCAUUUACAGGGGAAACGUAGGUGGCCGUGGGUUCAAAUCCCACUCGGUCCA